AACGAACGCUGGCGGCAGGCCUAACACAUGCAAGUCGAACGCCCUAGCAAUAGGGAGUGGCAGAUGGGUGAGUAACACGUGGGAACCUUCCCUAUAGUACGGAAUAGCUCAGGGAAACUUGAAGUAAUACCGUAUACGCCCGAGAGGGGAAAGAUUUAUCGCUAUAGGAUGGGCCCGCGUCGGAUUAGCUAGUUGGUGAGGUAAUGGCUCACCAAGGCGACGAUCCGUAGCUGGUUUGAGAGAACGACCAGCCACACUGGGACUGAGACACGGCCCAGACUCCUACGGGAGGCAGCAGUGGGGAAUAUUGGACAAUGGGCGCAAGCCUGAUCCAGCCAUGCCGCGUGAGUGAUGAAGGCCUUAGGGUUGUAAAGCUCUUUUAGCAGGGAAGAUAAUGACUGUACCUGCAGAAU
rnacentral:rRNA from 1 species